AGUGAACGCUGGCGGUAGGCCUAACACAUGCAAGUCGAACGGCAGCACAGUAAGAGCUUGCUCUUACGGGUGGCGAGUGGCGGGCGGGUGAGGAAAACAUCGGAAGCUACUUUUUAGUGGGGGAGAACGUAGGGAAACUUACGCUAAUACCGCAUACGACCUACGGGUGAAAGCAGGGGAUCUUCGGACCUUGCGCGAUUGUAUGAGGCGAUGUCGGAUUAGCUAGUUGGCGGGGUAAAGGCCCACCAAGGCGACGAUCCGUAGCUGGUCUGAGAGGAUGAUCAGCCACACUGGAACUGAGACACGGUCCAGACUCCUACGGGAGGCAGCAGUGGGGAAUAUUGGACAAUGGGCGCAAGCCUGAUCCAGCCAUACCGCGUGUGUGAAGAAGGCCUUCGGAUUGUAAAGCCCUUUUGUUGGGAAAGAAGAGCAGCAGGUUAAUACCCCGCUGUUCUGACGGUACCCAAAGAAUAAGCACCGGCUAACUUCGUG
rnacentral:rRNA from 1 species